rnacentral:rRNA from 1 species
UACGUAGGUGGCAAGCGUUGUCCGGAUUUAUUGGGCGUAAAGAGCGCGCAGGUGGUUGAUUAAGUCUGAUGUGAAAGCCCACGGCUUAACCGUGGAGGGUCAUUGGAAACUGGUCGACUUGAGUGCAGAAGAGGGAAGUGGAAUUCCAUGUGUAGCGGUGAAAUGCGUAGAGAUAUGGAGGAACACCAGUGGCGAAGGCGGCUUCCUGGUCUGUAACUGACACUGAGGCGCGAAAGCGUGGGGAGCAAACAGGAUUAGAUA